rnacentral:lncRNA from 1 species
CGGCGCGCUCCGUCGUCAGUUUGUCCACGCACGUGACUGGCCCGAGGCUAUAACCGAGCCAUUCUGGGUGACCCUGGGGGACAAGGGCAGAUCAGGAGACACACCCACCCACCAGCUCUGGAGGCACGCAGAGCAGAGGAGCCAUGAGAGUGAGAUGGAGCCACAUGGUGAGAUGCGUUCCGUGGUAGAUACUGUGGUGGGCCCCUGGCCUCAGUUUUGUCACCUGGAAACAAUGUGAAGAGUGCCACAGACCCUGGAAAAUGGGCAGACCAAGCUCAUGCCUCUCACCUCCUCUGCUGAUGUCACCACUACUGAGCUCCCUUGGGGCCUUCCUACAUCCCAGCUGGUCCCUGAGCACUCUGAGAUGACCAUUGCCUGUGCCAUACUGCUGAAGUCUAGCCUGGAAUCAGAGAGAGAAAGCCCCAGGAGCUCACCCCAGGAAUGUCUAGUUAGGCACCCUCUGCUCAAUUUCCAUUGGUCCCUAAGUCACAAUGCAGCCUAGAUUUCCCAGGUCCAAGAGCAUAGCCCAGUCCCACCCAGGCCCUGACAAAUCCCUUCUCUGGGACUUUGCUGAGCUAGCUUGGAAUUUCUCAAAAACAAACAAAUGGGGGAGUCCAGAGCUGUGGUUCCCAGAGCUAAGAAAGGUUCUUCCUGCGUUGGCCUGAGUCUGAGCUGGCUGAGGUUCCAGGCCUGCUGGGCUAGACCCAAGCUCAGAACUUCAAGUCAGGGCAACACCACCCGGUCCUGCCCCUUAAUCAUCAGCUGAGAAUGGCAGGAGUCUGGGCGGUCAGUGAACAGGAUCCAGGACAGGGACAGACAGCCACUAGUGGCUGCCUGGGCUGAGGUAUCUUGGUAGGUGGCUGGGGCUUGUAUGGUGAGGGGUGGCCUGGAGCUUGUAUGGCCUGGCUUCAUGUGGAGGUAACUCAAGGCAGCCAUCAGGUGGCAGUGGUGUUGGGUCCUCAGCAGAACAGGGUAUAGAGGCUCUGUGGGAAUGUGGGGGUGGGAAAGAUGGGGUGGGGGAGGGGCUACAGAUCUGGGGGGCUGGGGCCAGGGCAGGCUAUCGGGAGGGGGCUCUUGCCAGGUGGUCUUAAUCUCUUCAGUGAAAUAGGAGUCCUGGGGCGGGUGGGGGAGAUGGGAGCUGAGACAGCUGUGGGACAGGGAACUGGCCUGACAGCCCAGGGGCCCCAGGCCAGAGCCCUGCUGCAGCGCCUUCUCCCUUGCCUUCUCCCUCGCCAGUACUAGUACCCUGGAUCAUCCCCGGGCUAAGCUGGUUCUGCCUUCUUCAUCACACAUUUUGUUAAAAUGAUUUUCUCAGCUGGGAGGACCUGUCAUGCAACUGUGUACAGGGGUCUUCAAGGUAGGCUAGGGACCGGGUCCAUUCUGCUUUGGUAGAAGCCACUAUCCCACGUGGGUCCCCAUUAAACUGUUGAAGCUCUGAGGUGGUGUGAGGUUGACAUACAGAGGGAGAGGAGCCUCUGGCCAU